rnacentral:rRNA from 1 species
AUUGAACGCUGGCGGCAGGCUUAACACAUGCAAGUCGAGCGAGCGGCGGACGGGUGAGUAAUGUCUGGGAAACUGCCUGAUGGAGGGGGAUAACUACUGGAAACGGUAGCUAAUACCGCAUACCAUCAGAUGUGCCCAGAUGGGAUUAGCUCGUAGGUGGGGUUAUGGCUCACCUAGGCGACGAUCCCUAGCUGGGCAGAGAGGAUGCCCAGCGACACGGGACCGGAGACACGGUCCAGACUCCGCCGGGAGGCAGCAGUGGGGAAUAUUGCACAAUGGGCGCAAGCCUGAUGCAGCCAUGCCGCGUGUGUGAAGAAGGCCUUCGGGUUGUAAAGCACUUUCAGCGAGGAGGCGUUACUCGCAGAAGAAGCACCGGCUAACUCCGUGCCAGCAGCCGCGGUAAUAC